rnacentral:misc_RNA from 1 species
GUGAAUCAUCGAAUCUUUGAACGCACAUUGCGCUCUUUGGUAUUCCGAAGAGCACGCCUGUUUGAGUAUCGAAAAAACCAUCACGACCUUGUUCUUGUGAGUUCGCUCCUCAGGACAUGAUAACGUGGAGUUGGGCUGUAUCUGCUUUCGCGAGCAGGUGGCCUCAAAGGAGAGCGUUGGAAGCUGGAUCUCCUCUACUGGGAUCGCUGCCCGAAAUGUACUGAAUUGGAGUAACCUUCAUUUUUCUUUCUUGCAGUUGAGCCUAGUGGAGAACCGGUCGACCGAUCAACCCACUACCAC